rnacentral:lncRNA from 1 species
AUGCUAUCUUUUGUGGAACAAUUGGGGAAUGGAAUUUUCUUGGUGCAAAGGUCUUUGAGAAAGUUAGUUCCACUUGCUUUUCACAAAAUUGCCUUAUUACCCUACAAUUCUAAAUUGUUUCAAUCAUUAUUAUUUCAGUUUUCCACAGUUUCCAUAUUCCAGGAGUUCAAGAUGAAGUUAAGAAUGAAUGCAAGAAUGAAGGCAAGAUCUCCUCGACCUUUUCAGCUGGGGGAUAUGUGCCGAGCCAUAACCCCAGUAGAUGGAGUUUUCUGUGCCUUGAUGCCGUGUUCCCCAGUGAAUCUAGGGAUCUCCUGGAGAGCAGAAGAGCAGAUUCAUGUCAGACUAAGUCUUUCAUUCAUGUUCAAAUGAUGUAGUUCAACUCAUAUGGAGUCCAAAGAGUGGGCAGAAAUUGGUCUUGCCUCCUUGUGUGCUUUGGGAUUUCACCUGCUGGAGAGGACAGGGGGAUCUUCAGGUCCUGUGUGUAGAGGAGUAUGAAAGGAAAGACAUAGGAGGCCUGGUCUCCGGAUGAAGUAUCUCAAAACAAUCAGACACAAGUUUCCUUAUCAGCCGGGGGAUUAAAUUAUAAAAAAAAAAAAAAAUCUUAUUGUUAGCUGGGUCCUGGAAGGUGCCAAAAUGGAAAAUGGAAAAAUGUGAGAGGAGAAACGUUUGUUCAGCUUUGUGCAUUAUUCUGUUGAGGAGGUUAAUCUAUCAAUUUUAUGAAAGUUUCCAAGGAAUAUAUGUAAUAAAAGGACUUAACAGUCUCUGCUUAAAUGAAAA